rnacentral:rRNA from 1 species
UGGAUUCCCCUUAGUAAGGGCGACUGAAAUGGGAAGAGCCCAGCGCAUAACCUCGCAGGAGUAGCUUGCCUGUCGAGGGGUGUUGCGUUUCGGUGGAUCCGUCCCGCCCGCGCUGCUUACCGCCUAAGUCAUUGUUUGAAAGCAGUCCCACGGAGGGUGAAAGGCCCGUGUGGGCGGCGCCUUGGUAAGGUGAAGGCGGCGUGGGCGGAGGGAUGUUUACCGUAGAGUCGGGUUGCUUAGUAGUGCAGCCCUAAGAUGGUGGUAAACUCCAUCUAAGGCUAGAUAUAACCACGAGUCCGAUAGCAGACAAGUACCGUGAGGGAAAGCUGAAAAGAACUUUGAAGAGAGAGUUCAAAAGGACGUGAAACCAUUAGAAGCUUAAACGGGUGGACCCGCGACGGUCGAACGAGGGGAUUCAGGCGGCCUUUGGCGCGCGGCAGUGGCUGGUACAGGCUGGAAAAGACCCGGCGUUCUAACGUGGACGGCCGGGCUCCAGUCGCUGGUUGCGUUGCCUCCGGGCCGUCUUAGUUCUCCCUCUAGUAGCAGCGCCGCGACCUGCUGCGGGUGGCUCCUAGGGCUCUCUCCAGACUGGUAGCUGUGACCGCAAGGUCGCAGUGAUGACUGGGCGAGUUCCGAAGGGGCCGCGGCGGCGGUCACUGCCAGGAGGGCGCCCGAGCCUCUUACGGCGAGGGCGGCCUCUCGCGGUGCAUGUCAGAUCGGGCAUCCACCUGACCCGUCUUGAAACACGGACCAAGGAGUCUAACAUGUGAGCAAGUCUAAGGUUUUGCUAAAGCUUUAGGCGAAAUGAAAGUGAGCCCUUUGCAACUGCCUCGUCUGCUUUGUGUGGGCGAGGCGGGGCAGGCCGAUCCCCGGCCUGGCGCUGGGCGCUGCCGUGGCGUGGGCUGCGUGGAGGUAGUUUCCGCGUCCCGCUGCGGUGCGUUCGGCGUCGGGCGACGCUGGUGGCUGGCUGAGGCUGGCGGCGGCUUUCUCUCUCUCUCUUGGGGGAGGGGAGGCUGUUGUCGGCGGAUGGCAGCGACCGUGCGUGCGUUCGAGGCAGUGAAUGCGGGGCGCAGGCCGAGGACUUGUCGUCAGCGGCCCCGGCGACGGGGGAGAGGCCGUCUUCACGGGCGGCCCCUCUCUUUAGCCGGGCGUCCGCGGGCAAGUACCUAAGAGCUCACCCGUUGAGACCCGAAAGAUGGUGAACUAUGCCCGGUGAGGACGAAGCCAGAGGAAACUCUGGUGGAGGUCCGAAGCAGUUCUGACGUGCAAAUCGAUUGUCUGAACUGGGUAUAGGGGCGAAAGACUAAUCGAACCAUCUAGUAGCUGGUUCCCUCCGAAGUUUCCCUCAGGAUAGCUGGCGCUCGGAGGAGGAUGAGUUUCAUCCGGUAAAGCGAAUGAUUAGAGGCCUUGGGGGUGCAACGCCCUCAACCUAUUCUCAAACUUUAAAUGGGUGAGAUGCUGAGCUUACUUGAUUGUUGCCCAGUUGAAGCUCAAGCAUAGAAUCAGAGUGCCUAGUGGGCCACUUUUGGUAAGCAGAACUGGCGCUGUGGGAUGAACCAAACGUACGAGUUAAGGGGCCUAAACGAACGCUAAUAUAGACACUACGAAAAGGUGUUGGUUGCUAUAGACAGCAGGGCGGUGGCCAUGGAAGUUGGAAUCCGCUAAGGAGUGUGUAACAACUCACCUGCCGAAGCAACUAGCCCUUAAAAUGGUAUGGCGCUAAAGCGUUCUCCCGAUACUCGGCCGCCGGUGCAUAAGGUUUAGCUGUUUUGGAACCUUGAGGCACCGGCGAGUAGGAGGGUCGCAGCGGCGUGCGUUGAAGGUGUCCGGCGUGAGCCGGCCUGGAGCCACCGCUGGUGCAGAUCUUGGUGGUAGUAGCAAAUAAUCUAAAGAGAACCUCGUUGACUGAGGUGGAGAAGGGUUCCAUGUCAACAUCAGUUGAACAUGGGUGAGUCAGGCCUAAGCCCAAGGAUAAAGUUCCUGCGUCCCAUGAGUUUCCUACCGGUGAUAGAGGUGGCAGGUGGACCACCCUUACUGCUAGUGUGUGUGUAGUUUGCUGCUGCUGCUGCUGCUGCUGCUAGGCGGUGGCGGCGGCAGCAGACGACUACUACCACUACUAUCAUCGUCACUCGGGACUUAUGGGUACGCAGUGGCGAACGGGAACACGGUAAUGAUUCCGUGACCUGUGUCAGGCGGCCCGGACGUAUCGCCUUCGGGAGAGGGUCCGGGCCUUAUGUGUGACAAGCCCUGGUAACAGGAUCUGGCUUGCGUCCACUGGCGGCUGGUCCGGGGGAGAGUUUUCUUUUUCUGUUUUAGGCCCCGUGGUCCCUGAAAAUAAUGUGUCUGGAGAAGGGGACGAUGGUUUUUAAAACCACACGGUGGCCGUAGAGCGGCACAGUUCUUGUGUCGUCCCGUGCACCAACGCCAGUCCGUGAAAGAUGUAAGUGAGGUAGUCACACGGGCAGUUUCUAUGCCGUGGGCGUGCUAAGGCGGCGAGGAGCGGCCUGGGCUGGCGACGGCCCGGGGUGCGAUUCGGCGUCGGUGCGUGCCUGCGGCGCCCAGCCUCGACAGAGACUGUACCCAUCUCCGCAUCCGGUCUCCGAGUCGA